CCUACGGGAGGCAGCAGUGGGGAAUAUUGGACAAUGGGCGCAAGCCUGAUCCAGCCAUACCGCGUGGGUGAAGAAGGCCUUCGGGUUGUAAAGCCCUUUUGUUGGGAAAGAAAUCCUGUCGGUUAAUAACCGGUGGGGAUGACGGUACCCAAAGAAUAAGCACCGGCUAACUUCGUGCCAGCAGCCGCGGUAAU
rnacentral:rRNA from 3 species